rnacentral:rRNA from 1 species
AUUCCAGCUCCAAUAGCGUAUAUUAAUGUUGUUGCAGUUAAAAAGCUCGCAGUUGAAUUUCUGGUUAAAAUCUUAGCUGGCUUUGGUCGUUAAUGUUUUAAUCAUCCGUUAGAGAACUAUAACCGUCCUUAACUGGUCAUUAUAGAGAUCUAACAUUUUACUUUGAAAAAAUUAGAGUGUUCAAGGCAGGCAAUCGUCAUGAAUACUAUAGCAUGGAAUAAUGGAAUAGGACUUUGGUUCAUUUUAUUGGUUAUUGAACCUUAGUAAUGAUUAACAGGGACAGUUGGGGGCAUUAGUAUUUAAUUGUCAGAGGUGAGAUUCUUGGAUUUAUUAAAGACUAACUUAUGCGAAAGCAUUUGCCAAGGAUGUUUUCAUUA